AUUGAACGCUGGCGGCAGGCGUAACACAUGCAAGUCGAGCGGAGAUGAGGUGCUUGCACCUUAUCUUAGCGGCGGACGGGUGAGUAAUGCUUAGGAAUCUGCCUAUUAGUGGGGGAAAACAUUACGAAAGGAAUGCUAAUACCGCAUACGCACUACGGGGGAAAGCAGGGGAUCUUCGGACCUUGCGCUAAUAGAUGAGCCUAAGUCGGAUUAGCUAGUUGGUGGGGUAAAGGCCUACCAAGGCGACGAUCUGUAGAGGGUCUGAGAGGAUGGUCUGCCACACUAGGACUGAGACACGGGCCAGACUCCUACGGGAGGCAGCAGUGGGGAAUAUUGGACAAUGGGCGGAAGCCUGAUCUAGCCAUGCCGCGUGUGUGAAGAAUGCCUUUUGGUUGUAAAUCACUUUAAGCGAGGAGGAGGCUACCUGGAUUAAUACUCUAGGAUAGUGGACGUUACUCGCAGAAUAAGCACCGGCUAACUCUGUGCCAGCCGCCGCAGUAAAAC
rnacentral:rRNA from 1 species